rnacentral:rRNA from 1 species
GGCGACGGUUCAUUCAAAUUUCUGCCCUAUCAACUUUCGAUGGUCAUGUAGUGGAUGACCAUGGUAUCAACGGGUAACGGGGAAUUAGGGUUCGAUUCCGGAGAGGGAGCCUGAGAAACGGCUACCACAUCCAAGGAAGGCAGCAGGCGCGCAAAUUACCCAAUCCCGACACGGGGAGGUAGUGACAAUAAAUACUGAUACAGGGCUCUUUUGGGUCUUGUAAUUGGAAUGAGUACAAUUUAAAUCCCUUAACGAGGAACAAUUGGAGGGCAAGUCUGGUGCCAGCAGCCGCGGUAAUUCCAGCUCCAAUAGCGUAUAUUAAAGUUGUUGCAGUUAAAAAGCUCGUAGUUGAACCUUGGGCCUGGCUGGCCGGUCCGCCUCACCGCGUGCACUGGUCCGGCCGGGCCUUUCCUUCUGGAGAACCGCAUGCCCUUCACUGGGUGUGUCGGGGAACCAGGACUUUUACUUUGAAAAAAUUAGAGUGUUCAAAGCAGGCCUUUGCUCGAAUACAUUAGCAUGGAAUAAUAGAAUAGGACGUGCGGUCCUAUUUUGUUGGUUUCUAGGACCGCCGUAAUGAUUAAUAGGGAUAGUCGGGGGCAUCAGUAUUCAAUUGUCAGAGGUGAAAUUCUUGGAUUUAUUGAAGACUAACUACUGCGAAAGCAUUUGCCAAGGAUGUUUUCAUUAAUCAGUGAACGAAAGUUAGGGGAUCGAAGACGAUCAGAUACCGUCGUAGUCUUAACCGUAAACUAUGCCGACUAGGGAUCGGGCGAUGUUAUUAUUUUGACUCGCUCGGCACCUUACGAGAAAUCAAAG